AGCAGCCGCGGUAAUUCCAGCUCCAAUAGCGUAUAUUAAAGUUGUUGCAGUUAAAAGCUCGUAGUUGAAUUUCGGGAUCAAUAUGUUGGUCGUGCCUCGGUACGUACUAGCUUAUUGGUUUCUCCUUUCUGAAGAACCAUGAUGUCAUUUAUUUGGUGUCGUGGGGAAUCAGGACUGUUACUUUGAAAAAUUAGAGUGUUUAAAGCAGGCUCACGCUUGAAUACAUUAGCAUGGAAUAAUGAAAUAGGACGUUUGAUUCUAUUUUGUUGGUUUCUAGGAUCGACGUAAUGAUUAAUAGGGAUAGUUGGGGGCAUUAGUAUUCAAUUGUCAGAGGUGAAAUUCUUGGAUUUAUUGAAGACUAACUACUGCGAAAGCAUUUGCCAAGGAUGUUUUCAUUAAUCAAGAACGAAAGUUAGGGGAUCGAAGACGAUCAGAUACCGUCGUAGUCUUAACCAUAAACUAUGCCGACUAGGGAUCGGAUGAUGUUAAUUUUUUAAUGA
rnacentral:misc_RNA from 1 species